rnacentral:rRNA from 1 species
AUGCAAGUCGAACGAGCGAGAGGAGGUUUACUUUCUCAAGCGAGUGGCGAACGGGUGAGUAACGCGUGAGGAACCUGCCUCAAAGAGGGGGACAACAGUUGGAAACGACUGCUAAUACCGCAUAAGCCCACGACCCGGCAUCGGGUAGAGGGAAAAGGAGCAAUCCGCUUUGAGAUGGCCUCGCGUCCGAUUAGCUAGUUGGUGAGGUAAUGGCCCACCAAGGCGACGAUCGGUAGCCGGACUGAGAGGUUGAACGGCCACAUUGGGACUGAGACACGGCCCAGACUCCUACGGGAGGCAGCAGUGGGGAAUAUUGCACAAUGGGGGAAACCCUGAUGCAGCGACGCCGCGUGGAGGAAGAAGGUCUUCGGAUUGUAAACUCCUGUUGUUGAGGAAGAUAAUGACGGUACUCAACAAGGAAGUGACGGCUAACUACGUGCCAGCAGCCGCGGUAAAACGUAGGUCACAAGCGUUGUCCGGAAUUACUGGGUGUAAAGGGAGCGCAGGCGGGAAGACAAGUUGGAAGUGAAAUCCAUGGGCUCAACCCAUGAACUGCUUUCAAAACUGUUUUUCUUGAGUAGUGCAGAGGUAGGCGGAAUUCCCGGUGUAGCGGUGGAAUGCGUAGAUAUCGGGAGGAACACCAGUGGCGAAGGCGGCCUACUGGGCACCAACUGACGCUGAGGCUCGAAAGUGUGGGUAGCAAACAGGAUUAGAUACCCUGGUAGUCCACACUGUAAACGAUGAUUACUAGGUGUUGGAGGAUUGACCCCUUCAGUGCCGCAGUUAACACAAUAAGUAAUCCACCUGGGGAGUACGACCGCAAGGUUGAAACUCAAAGGAAUUGACGGGGGCCCGCACAAGCAGUGGAGUAUGUGGUUUAAUU